GACGAACGCUGGCGGCGUGCUUAACACAUGCAAGUCGAACGGAAAGGCCCUGCUUUUGUGGGGUGCUCGAGUGGCGAACGGGUGAGUAACACGUGAGUAACCUGCCCUUGACUUUGGGGUAACUUCAGGAAACUGGGGCUAAUACCGGAUAGGAGCUCCUGCGGCAUGGUGGGGGUUGGAAAGUUGCGGCGGUUGGGGAUGGACUCGCGGCUGAUCAGCUUGUUGGUGGGGUAGUGGCUUACCAAGGCUUUGACGGGUAGCCGGCAUGAGAGGGUGACCGGCGCCAUGGGGACUGAGGGACGCACCAGACUGGUAUGGGAGGCAGCAGGGGGGAACAUUGCACAAUGGGCGGGCGCCUAAUGCAGAAGCGCCGCGGUCGGGAUCACGGCCUUCGGGUUGUAAACCGCUUUCGCCUGUGACGAAGCGUUAGUGACGGUAACGGGUAAAGAAGCACCGGCUAACUACGUG
rnacentral:rRNA from 1 species